rnacentral:sRNA from 1 species
GGCUGCUUUCGGCCUGGAACAGUGGAACCGCGACGAAAACUUGUCGCUUGGGAUCACUAACUAACUCGCUUUUCCUUCAGGCUUAUCCACCGUCUGUCUGAGCCUCGGUGAGUCAGUGGCCACGACACUAGCAGAACCCUGGUGGUGAUCUCUGUGCUAGCCAAUCUCAGGCCACGGAAAAUGUACUAGAAGGCCGCAGUCAAGACAUUUCCCAAGAUGAUAUUCUCAGUGGAGACUAGGUCCUAUUUGUACGCAUACAAACCCGUUUGUUCUACAGAUGACAAGACUAAUCAUUGAACUGCAUCGAUCACGGAACGAAGCUAUCAAAGAGCCAUUUAUUUGCUAUUUUGUUUUGGUUGGUUGGGGCCUUUGAAAACAACCCAGGAACAACCCACUAAAACACACUCACCACUACUCUGCACCAACAUUACUAACUAUACACUCACCCACUCCGACACAGCAUCGCGCGUGAGGAGUGGAUCAGGGUUCAGGAUCAGGUUGGGAUUAUUGUUGGUCAAGGGGUAAGGACCUGGGAAGUAUAUUAUAAAAAUAGGUGGAAGUGGGGCUGGCGCAGCUCUCGUCGACUAGUAUUCGUGCAUCGGGAAGUACAGCAAAAGCCCAUGACCAAAAAAAAUCUCUGGCCAACACCGUUCAUUCAACCAUGGUCCGUAUGUAUGCCCUGAUUGAUCCUCUAUUCUUUUCUUCGUUGGAGUUUGAUUGAACUUGCACGUAACUACAGAGCAUAGAAAAUUAUAUAUAUGGAAAUGUAUAUACAUAGAAAUAUCUAUAUAUAAUUGAAGAUGGC